CAAAAGGUAGUUUAAUAAAAAUGCUGGUUUUGGGGAUCAGUGAUGAGGGUAAUCCUUUCUUUUGA
rnacentral:tRNA from 1 species